UACGGGGGGGGCAAGCGUUGUUCGGAAUUACUGGGCGUAAAGGGCUCGUAGGCGGCCAACUAAGUCAGACGUGAAAUCCCUCGGCUUAACCGGGGAACUGCAUCUGAUACUGGAUGGCUUGAGUUCGGGAGAGGGAUGCGGAAUUCCAGGUGUAGCGGUGAAAUGCGUAGAUAUCUGGAGGAACACCGGUGGCGAAGGCGGCAUCCUGGACCGACACUGACGCUGAUGCGCGAAAGCCAGGGGAGCAAACGGG
rnacentral:rRNA from 1 species